rnacentral:rRNA from 1 species
GACGAACGCUGGCGGCGUGCUUAACACAUGCAAGUCGAACGGAAAGGCCCUGCUUUUGUGGGGUGCUCGAGUGGCGAACGGGUGAGUAACACGUGAGUAACCUGCCCUUGACUUUGGGAUAACUUCAGGAAACUGGGGCUAAUACCGGAUAGGAGCUCCUGCUGCAUGGUGGGGGUUGGAAAGUUUCGGCGGUUGGGGAUGGACUCGCGGCUUAUCAGCUUGUUGGUGGGGUAGUGGCUUACCAAGGCUUUGACGGGUAGCCGGCCUGAGAGGGUGACCGGCCACAUUGGUACUAAGAUGCGGCCCAGACUCCUACGGGAGGCAGCAGUGGGGAAUAUUGCACAAUGGGCGGAAGCCUGAUGCAGCAACGCCGCGUGCGGGAUGACGGCCUUCGGGUUGUAAACCGCUUUCGCCUGUGACGAAGCGUGAGUGACGGUAAUGGGUAAAGAAGCACCGGCUAACUACGUG